GCUCAGUCUGACCCAGCUGUGUAAAAAUACCCACCGCUUCUCUUUUAGCACGCAUAUACACACACACACACACACACACUAAAAAUGCUGUUUAUCUCCCUAUGCAGCCCUGCAGCCCAGAACAGGACGCAACUGACUGCGGCACUUUCCACCACCCGCCCAGAAAUAGACUGAGAUUCAACUGUGGCCCAGAUUGAGAAGCCUUUACUCGGAGGUCGGCCAUCCCUCUUCUUGUGUACAGAUCACAGAAGGCCAGCGCUGAGGCCCUUUUGUUUAACUAAGCGGAGAGGUUCUCCUUCAACAACAACAGACUCGCAGACCAGGAGGGCCUCACGCUCACACACACUGCACAACAUCAGGUUUAUGUGAAAGAGUGUGGA
rnacentral:lncRNA from 1 species